rnacentral:rRNA from 1 species
UAGGGAAUAUUAGUAAUGGGCGAAAGCCUGAACUAGCAACGCCGCGUGUGCGAAGAAGGCCUUCGGGUUGUAAAGCACUUUUUGAGAGGAUGAGGAAGGACGGUACUCUCAGAAUAAGUCUCGGCUAACUACGUGCCAGCAGCCGCGGUAACACGUAGGAGGCGAACGUUAUCCGGAUUUACUGGGCGUAUAGCGCGUGUAGGUGGUUUGGUAAGUAGGGCGUGAAAGCUCCUGGCUCAACUGGGAGAGGCCGUUCUAAACUGCCGAAGUAGAGGAGGGUAGAGGGAGGUGGAAUUCCGGGGUUAGCGGUGGAAUGCGCAGAGAUCCGGAGGAACACCAGUGGAGAAAGCGGCCUCCUGGGCCAUUCGUGACACUCAGACGCGAAAG